CGCAUCUGUGCAUGCAGCAUAUCAAUAAGCGGAGGAAAAGAAACUAACAAGGAUUCCCCUAGUAACGGCGAGUGAAGCGGGAAGAGCUCAAAUUUGAAAUCUUAAAGGGUUUCCCUUUACGAAUUGUAGUUUAAAGAAGUGUUUUCUGUUGAGGUUUUGGUAAAAGCUCUUUGGAAUAGGACAUCAUAGAGGGUGAGAAUCCCGUAUUUGACCUUUACUUUCAACUUUGUGAUACACUUUCAAAGAGUCGGAUUGUUUGGGAAUGCAGUCCAAAAUGGGUGGUAAAUUUCAUCUAAAGCUAAAUAUUGGCGAGAGACCGAUAGCGAACAAGUACCGUGAGGGAAAGAUGAAAAGAACUUUGAAAAGAGAGUUAAACAGUACGUGAAAUUGUCAAAAGGGAAGCGUUUGACACCAGUGUUGUUUUUCUGAAAAUCAAUUAAAGAACUGUUUAUGCUAAGCUGUUUAGACUUUAUCAGCUAAUCUGUUUAGUUUUGAGCUUUUCUUUAAUGCACUUUUCAGUUAACAAGUCAACAUCAAUUUCUUUUGCUGUAAAAAAGCUUGAGGAAGGUGGCUUGAGAUUCGUCUUAAGUGUUUAUAGCCUCUUGCCUAUGCAGUCGGAGAGAUUGAGGUCUGCAGCGUAGAUCCUUCGGGGCUAAAUGCAUUUGUGCUAAGUUAUAGCAUUUUAUAGACAACUUGUUGACUAUGAUUUGUCUUGUAGCUUACUCGCUUAUGUUAUUUUACCUACGCUUAGGAUGUUGAGUCAUCACACAUCUCU
rnacentral:rRNA from 1 species